ensembl:lncRNA
CAUCGACCUCACUCCUAGAGUGCAAGGGAUCGGCGCGGGCCUUAUCUCCCAACAGCCCGAGCUCGGGCCACUGCACGCCAUAGUCCCAGAGCGCUGCGCGAGUGGCCGGCUGUGGCGGCUCGGGGUGCGCCCCUGCUGACAGCGUCUUUCAGCGGGAACGCCCUGGAGAGGACGAGUGGUGACCGAACAGCUACUACGGUGGGACCAAUCCGAUGUCGCCUUGGUUCCCACGCUGUCUUCCUGGGGAGCGUUAGGUCGCCCUGGCAGCGUGUGGCUCCGCGUCUGGGGCUGAGCUGAGUGCGGUUACCCAAGGCCAGGUCCUGGUUUCCGGGAGCCACUCAUUAGAAGCCUAUCCCACCUCUGCCUGUUGACAAUAUAAAUUUUAAUUAUGAUGUUUCAAGUGAAGUCUUCUUUGAAAUGCUUCUGCUUGGAGUACGCUGAGCCUCUUGGAUCCAGGACACUGCCUUUAAUCAGGGAAACUCUUUGGCCAUUACUGCUUCAUAAAUUUUUUCUUCUGC